rnacentral:lncRNA from 1 species
CUAUUUUGCAAAAAUUAUGAUAUCCUAUGACGAUAUUAUGAUAUCCUGCAGUCAAACUAUGACUUUCUACACAUAGGAUAUUGUAAUUUUUUUUUAGAAGUCAUAAAAAGAGAAAGAUAUUUUCGUCAUUAAAAAUUUAUAAAAUUUUUAAAUGAUAAAAUUGUCCCUUUUUUAUGACAUCCUGUGACCAAAUUAUGAGUAGAAAGUC